AUUGAACGCUGGCGGCAGGCCUAACACAUGCAAGUCGAACGAGUGGCGGACGGGUGAGUAAUGUCUGGGAAACUGCCCGACGGAGGGGGAUAACUACUGGAAACGGUAGCUAAUACCGCAUACCAUCGGAUGUGCCCAGAUGGGAUUAGCGAGUAGGUGGGGUAACAGCUCACCUAGGCGACGAUCCCUAGCUGGUCUGAGAGGAUGAAAGUCCACACUGGAACUGAGACGCGGUCCAGACUCCUACGGGAGGCAGGAGUGGGAAAUAUUGAACAAUGGGCGCAAGCCUGCUGCAGCAAUGCCGCGUGUAUGAAGAAGGCCUUCGGGUUUUAAAGUACGUUCAGCGAGGAGGCGUUACUCGCAGAAGAAGCACCGGCUAACUCCGUGCCAGCAGCCGCGGUAAUAC
rnacentral:rRNA from 1 species